UCUUAAUUCUUUUUAUUUCCCUUUGAAGAAGACCUUUAUAAUGUUAAUGGAACACAGUAGAAUUUGGAAAUGAAAGAAACAAACUCUGUGCUGCUUUUCAGGACAUCCUUCCUGCAGAGGAAGAGGACAGGAGCUUAAGUGAGAAGAGGCCUCUCCAUCAAUGAGCUAAGCAUUUGAGUCUCAUACUAUUCAUAGCCCUGCUCAGGAAGAGGGGACCUCAUACCCCUGUCUUUGGAGCGGA
rnacentral:lncRNA from 1 species